UAGGGAAUCUUCGGAAUGGGGGGAACCCUGACCGAGCAACGCCGCGCGAGUGAAGAAGGUUUUCGGAUCGUAAAGCUCUGUUGUUAAGGAAGAACGAGCGUGAGAAUGGAAAGUUCAUGCUGUGACGGUACUUAACCAGAAAGGGACGGCUAACUACGUGCCAGCAGCAGCGGUAAUACGUAGGUCCCGAGCGUUGUCCGGAUUUAUUGGGCGUAAAGCGAGCGCAGGCGGUUAGAAAAGUCUGAAGUGAAAGGCAGUGGCUCAACCAUUGUAGGCUUUGGAAACUGUUUAACUUGAGUGCAGAAGGGGAGAGUGGAAUUCCAUGUGUAGCGGUGAAAUGCGUAGAUAUAUGGAGGAACACCGGUGGCAAAAGCGGCUCUCUGGUCUGUAACUGACGCUGAGGCUAGAAAGCGUGGGGAGCGAACAGG
rnacentral:rRNA from 1 species